UACGGAGACUGUCAAACUGCUUUUUUGGCUUUGUGCUGUCGUUAAUUACAUCUGGUCCUGACCGCCAGUUUCCGUCCCCCCAGCGCGAAUACGAGUGGACUGUAGACUUUCUCCAACGAUUGCAGACUUUUCAGCAUCAGCUUCAGCAGUAGGCCUGAGCAGCUACGUCAGCGGCGCAUUGCUGCAGCCACUCACUGUCAUCGUGCUUUUCGUGGAACAACAUAGCACCCCGCACACAAGCCUCAACCGUUUCCUCAAGCAUUUUAUGCAGAUGUUGUGCGUAGGAUUUCAACGGAGGGGUCCGAAGUGGCGUCUCGGGACAUCUCAAGAACUGCCACGCACACGCAUAAACUGAUUCAGUGAAUAGGCCACUCUUCAAUACCUAGAGGGGUGACAGAAUUCUCAAAAACCUUAACAAGGCUAUGAUCUAUAAUUAAAUCUCCACUGUAUCUCCAAGCGGCCUAUCAGCACGUGAUAGCCGUGGAGGGAUAAGUAACAGGGAGGGUUGAUGGGAGAUAACUUUGGCACUGCGCUAACCCAGAUUAAAGAGGCUCUCAUUGCUUCCCCUCCUGCUGAGCCAGAGAUUUGGAGUCUUAUUCUGGAGUGGAACAUAAGAGAAAAACAAAAGCAAAAACAACAGCCUAGAACUAUCAUAAUGAGUGAGGCAAGCAGCUGGUGCUCAGACAGCCACCAGUCCACUGCACCGCAUGACUGUAGAACGGAGGUAACAUUUUCCCUCUCAAACGUGAUAAAAUGGAGCCAUUAAACAGCAUAUCUACAGGUCUGCGGAAUCCCCUUCGCCUAGAAUUUUCGAAUGCUAUUAGACUGAUUGAAAUACGAGAUGACAGCCCUGAUUCCGAUAUCCUCCUCAGACAAAGAGAAAUUUACUGCAGCAGACUGACUAACCACCCCUUUGCUCGAAUGAGAAACUGAAGCCUCAACAUAUUGCUUUCAGCAAAAAUCACAACAACGACGGGGAGAAAAAAAAAAAAACAGGCUAAUGACGCUUUCGAACGGGCCGCUUUUGAAUUUGACUGGAUUUCAAGAAGUCACUUACUGCCACAAAAUUGCUGACUGAGGGGGUGAGGGCAUGUUUAUGUAUAAGCAAUUUCCUGUUUCCUUAAGUCUUGACUGCUAAACAGUUAACUGAGUGCUGACCAACGCUGUUUGUAUCACAUGCGAAUAGGAACUAAAUUAAUCUCGCACAGCUUUUUCAUACAGCAGUGUGCCUCGCAGUGAGGGGUUUCCAAAAAAUAAGAAAUGAGUGUUUUUUUUUGUUUUUUUUUAA